rnacentral:rRNA from 1 species
UACGAAGGGGGCGAGCGUUGUUCGGAUUUACUGGGCGUAAAGCGCACGUAGGCGGAUCGUUAAGUCGGGGGUGAAAUCCUGGAGCUCAACUCCAGAACUGCCUUCGAUACUGGCGAUCUCGAGUCCGGAAGAGGUGAGUGGAACUCCUAGUGUAGAGGUGGAAUUCGUAGAUAUUAGGAAGAACACCAGUGGCGAAGGCGACUCACUGGUCCGGUACUGACGCUGAGGUGCGAAAGCGUGGGGAGCAAACAGG